AUUUUCCUUUUAGCUUAAUAAGCAUUCUUUGUAACUUCUGGGCUCCUUUUAUAUUUCUCAGUUGUAUAAAGGAUAUAUACAUAUGUAACAUAGCAAUCUGGCCCAGAAAAGCACAGCAGUCUUAACUUCAGCUCCAUCAGAGAACAUCACCUUAAAGAAAUGGCCUCUCAGAAAUAAACCUUAAAAAAAGCACAAUUAUUAAAAUAGAUCCAAUGUUAGGUUAUUUCUGUUCUGAAUAAUUAGAUUAUCAGAGGGCAAAAGACGUUUUGUUGGGUAUUAACACAAGGAAAGAGGACUGAUUUGACAGAGUAAGUUUCUUAAGUCAGCCAAAUGCCAAUUUUAUUCAGAAAAUAAAUUUACAGUUGAAGAAAUAGUGCUCAUAAAUUAGUAUGUAGUGAACUUCCUGUCACAUUCUUUUCCUACUAGUAUUUUUUAAUCACUCACAAUAAAUAUUUUGUUAUAUCCCAAACACAGAAAACCCCAUCAUUAAUACAUAUAUGUGAACAUCUCCCUAACCAAGGAACCAUCAACAUAAGCAAACUUGGGCUCUCAUAUGCAAACACUUUGGGGGAAAAAAUCACCUAUACAAGUAGCAUUAUCAAAAUAUUUUAAAGUGUAAGGAUCAAAAAAUGAUAACUUUUGAACUUGGAUGCUGGGGACUCUGGUUCAUCAUACUAGUCUUCCCUGGAAAUAAGCUUGUUUCUGGCUAGUUUGUGGUAUUUAUUUGUCCUUAAGAUGUCAUUUUAAAAAUGUGUUCUGAGGUGUUAUUAUCUAUGUUGGAUAUGCCACAGCUAAGUCAAGUUUCUCAAA
rnacentral:lncRNA from 1 species